rnacentral:lncRNA from 1 species
GAAAAUUGUCAACCACUCCUUCCUUAGGGGGUAAAAGCAACAUUCAGCACCGGGGGCAGGUCAAGGCAAGGCUGGCUCCCGUCUCCAGGCCCCAAGGAGCCACACCUGGACCAGACCCCAGGAAAGACAUGUGGUGGAAACCCUACGGCCCUGGAGCCCAAGGAGAGCAACGGCUGUAACAAGUGCACAGGUUUGAGUGCGCUGAGACAGGGGAACCGUGGGCAAAGAGGUCCCUCCAGAAAGAGCUGGGUGUGAGCAUGGGUUCGUGAGCUUGCCUGGAGCCCUGGCCUCAGCCCUCUCUCACUGAGGUGCCAUCUGGCUCGCAGAUGUGGCCCAUUCCCAGCCCCUCGUGUUUCUUGGAAAUGAGAAAGUCCAGGAAAGGGCACAGGGGCUUUCGCAACGACCGUGGCGAUGAUAGCUUUGACGUGUGGUCAUCCAGCCGGCCACUGCCCACACCCAAGAGAAAGCUGGAUUGAGCAUCAGGAGCCUGGGUUCAAGUCUGCCUCUCAAGCUGUUCCACAGGUGACCCUGGGCAAAUCGCACAGGCUCCUGGAACUUCAGAAAGGGGAAGAAUUAUUCCUGCCUCUGGCGACAUCAGCGAAUGUGCCUUGAGUUACGGGAGUGUUUUGAAGGCUGAAAGCUUUGUGUACACGGAAGGGGUCAAAGACAGCCACAAGCCUGUCCCUUUGGUCUUGGUCAUCAUGUUAACCCCAGGUUUCGAUUUAAUCCUACAUGCUCCUUUCUUAUGUGUGAGGCUGAGGUGGGGGCAUUGGUCAGAGGAGCCUCUGGGAAAUUUCCUUUCAGGACAGUUCUUUUGUUAAGGGGCCUGGGUGUGCUGAGAAGGGAAGGUGGCUCCUCCUGCUCUUGGAGCUUGGAGUUUCUCACAAGCUCUCCCUUAAAAGCCAGGCAGGCCAAGAAGGGAUAAUGGCUGCUCAGGGCCCAAGGGGCAGGAUCUCUGAGGCCCGGAAGAUCUCAGUAGGUUUAGCCCAAGAGUAUCCAGAAGUGGCCCAGGCCCAUUCUCCAUCCCUCAGAGCCUGGCAGCCUGGUCAGGACCCUCAAAGGCCAUGACCGUACCCGUAGGGCACCCUGGUGUCCUUCUGACAGGUGGGAUCUUUGUUUCUUACAGGCAAGGGCGCUAGCUGGUGGGAGCCACCCCGCCAUGCUGAUGUCAGAGAAGCAAGAACUCUGGAGAAGCAGCCUCCUGGGACCAGAGGAGGGCCAGCAGCAGGCAGCCCGGAGACAGAACUGUGAGCCCACCCCACCUCCACCCUUCCGGCACCCACAUCCGCUCCCCACCCCAGCCCACCUGCAGGUGGCUCCUGGAGUAUCCUGGGUCCCUCAGGAUAAACUCCCCACCCUAACCUCAGAAUGACCAAGAAACUGGGCCUGAGGAUGACAAGAAGCAGAAUGGGCCUUGGUAAAGGAAGACCCCCCACUGAUUGGUGGCAGUGCGGGCAGUUCAGGGCUGUCAGCGUCUGGGUUGUAGGUAAAAAGAAAUGGAACCCAAGAAGGGAAAUCCAACUAGGAGCCAAGAAUCCGGUCUACCCCAUCCUCCUUACGAAAUAGCAAUGCAAAGCCCGUGUGAUUUGGACAUAAAGCCUCUGUUACUCAACUUGAUUCGGUGAAUAACAGACUUGAAAGAAAUGUGGAAAAUAAUAGUAAUCUUCCCUAGAAAGGAGUAAACAGGGUUGAGCUCCCAAAGCAGGAAGACCUGGGGCUGUGUGAUCUUGGACGAGUCACUCAACCUCUCUGAGCCUAGUGAUAAAGAGCCAGCUCAUAGGGCUUUGAGAGGAUUUGUGAGGUUGGGCUGGUGUCCCCAGGCACAGCCCUUGGCACAUAGUGAAACUCAAGAAAACAGAGCAGUUUUUACCAUUCAUCACAUUAUUCCCACACUUGCCAAUUUUUUAAGUUCAUGCACAUGGUGGAACAGGUAGGGUGAGGUGCCAGCUCCAUAAGAUGAGUGGAGAAACUGAGGCCUGGAGAGGUGAAAGCAUUCACUCAGAGUUGCAUGUAGAGUCAGUUGCAAAGGAGAAUUCUGGCACCAGUUCUCAUGUGGAUGGAAAAAGUGCAGGAAGAUUUGGAGGUGAGCAGAGGAGAAGGGAGGAGGAGGCCGGGUUCCAGGAAAGGAGCUGACAUCCAGGGAUGUGGGACAAGGCCCAGGCCUGUCUUACAUAACAUGGUCCACCUGUUCACCCCUGCAGGCCCCACAAAUGUGUGCAAACGUGCACCCCGGCACAGCGCACACCCAGUCCUCCCUCACUGGCAAAUAAGCCACAGAGACUGGGUUUAAACAAAUUGGAUUAGGAGGGCUACAGGCGCCUCCUCCCCCCGACUGUCCGGCUCCGACACUAAACAGACCUGCAGAACUGCCAGCUGUGGUCUCUCGGACACACUGACAGUCGGUCCUUGGCUCCCUCACCCCACCCGUGGGCCUCAGGAAGGGGGUUGGGGUCUGAGAGGAUGCCACAGUGAUGGAUGGGGUGAGGGAGGUUCCAGGGCUAGCUCAACAGCGCACAGGAUGUUAGUGCUUUUGCGAGGCACAUUUCCGAGCUGUUCCCAGACCCGCCCCCACUUCCCCCCUCACCCUCCCCUCCGGCAGCCUCUCCCAUGGCCACUGCUGCGGGCUGUGAGCAGAGCCCCGUCCUUGAGCAGAUUGACCUCAUCUUUCAGUCCUGCAGCUGGGCUGAGCGGGGAGUCAGCUCAGAAGACACUGGCCUGGGGAUGAGACUCGGGGCAUGCUUCAGAGGGAAGAAAGAGCUUCUGAACAGACAAUGCUGUCUUAAAGGUGGCAUCUUGGUGCUUUCUCAUGCCUUGUUUUCUUUCAUCCUCAGAAUGUGUCUGGGGGUGAGAGGACGGGUGUGACUGCUGAAACUUCCUUUCUUGGUGAUUCCACAUCACUCCUUUCUGAUCCCUGAGCCUGUGCCACGCCCUGUGUGAUGUGCCGGGGACACCAGGGUGAAUACUUACAGGCCCUGUUCCCCUUCCUUCAUGAAACAGCCUCCUUCGGGCUGGGUCACUGGGCACUGGGGCCUCCCUGGUCUUCCAGGAUUGCAACUUCACAGAAUCCCUUUUCCAUAAGGCACAUGAAAGUGACUGUGACCCGCAACGGGAGCCUUGACAACCAGCCAAUUCAGAACACAGACCUUGACAUCGGAAGGCCCCGAGUUCAAAUCCUGCCUUGCUCCCUUUCAGCUGGAAAGCUGUGGUCAAAUUACUUAGCCUCUCCAAGCCAGUUUUCCCUUCUGCAAAAUGAGGUUACACAAGCUGCCACCUCACAGAAUGAGUGUGAGAAUUAAUUCUUAUUUUCCACACCCUCAUUUGACAGGGGGAGAAACAGAAGCCCAGAGAGGGAAAGGGCUUGGUUAGGAUCACACCAUGAGUUGGGGGUUAAGUCAGGAUGGGGUAGGUCCCCUCUUUCUCUGGGUGUUCCUCUCCCCCAUCCCUUAUCUCAACAUAAAUCCUCCCCAGUUGCCCAGGUUGUCCAGGCGAUUCCUGGCACACGUCCUGGGGCCUGCCCUCCACCUUUAGCCCUGCUCUGGCUUCUGCAGCAGCAGAGUCCUGGGUGACCAGCAGUGGCCCCUGGCCCUCUGAGUGGUGGUGGAGGGUGGGGGUGCACUGCAGCAAGCUCCCAGCCCAGAGCAGCCUGGCCAUAUAAGGGAAGGAGCUCAGGGAGGCCUCCUGGCUCAGGCCUGGCGAGAAAACCCAGACAGCCACUGUUUAUUUUCUCCUCCCCAGCUCACCCACGCCUCUCCAAGCCUCCCAACAGAAGACAGAGGUCCCCCACAGCCAGAGACAUUUCCUGAAGACAUGGGGAACACAGAGGCAGAAACAGCCCAUCCACCCAGGAGCUGUCCCCCACACUGCCGGGAGCCGGCACCCAGAGCCGCCAGGUAAAACUGAGGCCACCUGGUUCAACAUCACCUUUCACAGAAGGGGAAGCAGCCACAGAAAGAAGGGCCUCGUUAAGAAGUGGAACCUGGGACCCCCAAGCGGUGUCUCUCAUCCUGACUGGGGAUCCAGAGUAGGAGGGAGCCUUUGGUGGGGUAAGUGGAAUGGGGCGGGGUGGGGGGUGGCCAUAGACCCCUCUUCUCAGUAAGGCCCUCAUGUGAAGGAGGCAGGGGUUGGGACAAGUGCUAAGUAUGCAAGACUCAAGGGAAGAGCUGCUGGAGCCAGGAGAAGCACCUCCCUCCCGGCCCCUCUGCCCCUCCUCAUAGCCCAGCUGCACUGACUCCUCCUCCAGGAAGCCUUCUCAGCUUCCCCAGGGGUGGGAACCUUUUUGUCCUCCAGGUGUGCUUGGCUGUCCUUUCUUGGGCUCUCUCUCUCUCUCUCUCCUCAUCCCACUUGAGUCUGCCCCCUAUUCACCUUGUGAGGGGAAUUUUCCUUCUACUCAAUCUGACCGAGGUCCUCCAGGUCAAGGACAGCGAGGCUCUCAGUCCCACUUCCCCUUGGCACAUAGAAGAGGCAGUGCGCUGAAGGGACAGGUGAAAUGAUUAGACCCUGCCCCCAAACCAAGGCCUGGCCAAUUGGACAGGGCAUGAGACAUUCAGCGUAGAGGUUAAAACGAGGGCCCUGGGUUAGGAACCCCAGCUCAGUUCUCAGCUCUGUACCCUUGGAAAAUUCCCUUCCCAUGGAGCUUUGUGGAUGCACAAGGACUUGCACAAAGAAAACAUUCAAUAUCCAGGACUAUAAAAUUCCACAAAUGAUUGUGCUUAUUACAUUCAUUAUCACGAUGAUUAUUCCAGACACAAAGGAACAGAACGAGGCACCAACAGCAAGGGGCAAGCAGAUUCAAGGGCCACAGAGGAGAUGGAGGCAAACACCUUCCCCUGGUCAGAGGCUGUGCCUCAGCCCUUCUCCCUGCAUCAGUUUCUCCUUCAGAAGCAUGGGACUACCUCCCAUCUAGUUCUCGUUUCUAAACCUAGGGGAGAUGCUAUCUUUGCUGCAAUAAUCUUAGCCUACAUCUUGGAAUGGAAAUGGCCUUGGUGGAAAUGGUCUUCAACUCCUCUGGUCCAAGCUCAGGCCCUGUGACCCUGGAACAAUCCCCUUCCUGGUCCUCCAUGUAGGAGCAAUAACAUUCCCUUGCCAGCAGCACCAGCCAUUCUGAUGAUUAAAUGGUAUCGGACUCUGUUUUCCAAACUCAGUCAUUCAGAUGCCCCCUAUUUUAUUUCUUCCAUGUCUGCAAAUGAUUAUAAUAUUUUUAAAUGUAGGAUGAGUCCUUUUUAUUACACAUAGAAAUAGCUACUGUAAAUAGCAAACUCUAACACUGUGCCUAAUUAGGAAAUAAAGGUAACCAUAAAUACAGUAAAAAUGAAACAAUGUUAUUAUGGUUUAACCUGAUAGUGUGGCUUGCAAGGCCCUGGGCCUGAAGCCUGGGCAAUAAGUGAGAGUUAGAAAGGUGUCAAAGACAUGAUAGCAGCAAACUGAGGCUUUGUACCCCACGGUAAAUAGGACUGAAAGCAAAUUCACAGGGAGCAACUGAUCCAUUCCACAACAGAAUGCUCCCUGUCAAUUCGCUUUCCAUUCUGUUGUGUCCUGUCUCCCAGCAGAGACUACAAACUCCCCAAAACCACUUACCCACCAGCUGCACGUGAGAAGCCAAAGGUAGUUUAUGUGAAAGGGCUUUGGAAAUAAUCACGCACCAAGUGAAGGCAGAGGACACACCUUGUCAGCUUAGUUCUCAGCAGCAAAUCAUCUCUUUUCCAGGAUAACCCUCCCUGAUUCUUAUUGAAAUCUCUUUGCUGACCACACUAAGCUCUUCUCUCUCAGGGGCAGUGGGAGCCGUGGAGAGUGGAAUAGACCAGCUGUCUGUGACCUGCGAGGGAGUCCAAUGUCGGAAUCACUCCCCAGCCAAAUGCACGGUUUUAAAAAAUCUAUUUAUUUAUUUAUGUAGAGACCAGGCUAUGAGACUGGCUAAUUUUUCGUAUUUUUGGAUAGAGACAGGAUUUCAUCGUGUUGCCCAGGCUGGUCUUGAACUCCUGGGCUCAAGCGAUCCACCUGCCUCGGCUUCCCAAAGUGCUCAGGAUUACAGGCGUGAGCCACUGUGCCCAGCCACCAAAUGCAGUUGAAAAGAGUUUCUGCAAGAUAAUUCCACAGAAGAGGAAAGCAGUUAUCUGGCUGGGAAUACCUUAGACAGAGGCUGUCCUCUACACAGGCUGUCAGAACUGACCUACUGACCUGCCUGCUGGCAUGAUAGACCAGAGGGAAACACUCUUUCCACUCUUCCCAGACUGAGUGUAAGAGACAGACUUUUUUUUUUUUUUUUGAGACGGAGUCUCACUCUGUCACCCAGGCUGGAGUGCAAUGGCAAGAUCUCGGCUCACUGCAACCUCCACCUCCCCGGGUUCAAACCAUUCUCCUGCCUCAGCCUCCCAGGUAGCUGGGAUUACAGGCUCCCGCCACCACGCCUGGCUAAUUUUUGUAUUUUUAGUAGAGACAGGGUUUCACCAUGUUGGCCGGGCUGGUCUCGAACUCCCAACCUCAGGUGAUCCGCCUACCUUGGCCUCCCAAAGGGUUGGGAUUACAGGUGUAAGCCACUGCUCCCAGCCUUUUUUUUUUUUUUUAUUAGAGACAAGGGCUCCCCAUGUUGCCCAGGCUGAUCUUGAACUCUAGGCUCAAGCGAUCCUCCUGCCUGAGCCUCCCAAAGUGCUAGGAUUACAGGCAUGAGCACUGCUCCCAGCUCUGUUUUUGUUUUUUUAAGGAGGUAUAUUUUUUCUGUUCUCUCUCAGCCCUGAAGAAAGGCUACCCAUCCCCUUCAGACAUUCCUGAAAAUAUAUGUCAUCCAACAUCAAGGCCACCACAGUGACCACUAAGCAAUGCAAGAAGGUCCUCUGGGGUGCCCUGAGAUCUUGGCAGGGCAGGAAGAGUGAGAAGGGGCUUUGCCUGCUCACCUGAAAGUUCCCACCCAAGCCGGGCCCAGAAAACAAAAUGAAUUAUCUACAUGGUCAUCCAAUCAGCCACCAAAUGGCAUUACCUAGGUCCAUCAUCAUGUACCAAGCCACAGGUCAGACCCAGGGCCCCCCAAAUUAACAAGACACAGGCACUGUCCUCAGGAAGUGGAGAUCUAGCCAGGUCAGACCCACACACAAAUAACACUGAUACUAGAGAUAAUGAGAUUGGGAAUUAUGAUUCAGCCAUUCAACCUGGGCUUAUGUGGCAUCUACACCACCUGGCCCUGAUUUCAGUAGUGAGCACAGUUGACAGGGUCCCUUCCCUUCACAGGUGAGCCAUGUAGUCCACAAGUGGAGGUGGUCGUAAGUGAAAACCACAUUACCAGCAUGGUAAAGGGUUAGAAAGAGGGCACCGGGUGGGCGAGAACAUGAAGCAGGGGGUGCUGAUGGCUAAAGAAGUAAAGGAGGGGCUGGGCACUGUGGUUCAUGCCUAUAAUCCCAGCACUUUGGGAGACCAAGGCGGGUGGAUCACCUGAGGUCAGGAGUUCUAGACCAGCCUGGGCAACGUGGUGAAACCCUGUCUCUACUAAAAAUACAAAAAUUAGCCAGGCAUGGUGGUGCACGCCUGUAGUCCCAGCUACUUGGGAGGCUGGGGCAUGAGAAUUGCUUUAACCCGGAAGGUGGAGUUUGCAGUGAGCCGAGAUCGUGUCACUGCACUCCAGCCUGGGCGACAGAGGGAGACUCUGUCUCAAAAAAAAAAAAAAGUCAAGGAGGGUUUCCCAGAGUGGCCACUUGAUUAGAGACCUAGCACAGGAGGAAGAGAUGGGCAGGGAGAGUGACGGGGAGCAGCACAGUCCCUGGGAGCCCGAAGUGGGUGGGCACAGGGCUCCCUAGGAGAAUGGAAGGACAUCUAUGAGCUGUAGCCCAAGAGGAAGAGGUCACUGGGGCUAGAUGCGGCAGACCCUCGCAGGCUUUGGGAAGGGCUUCAGAAUUCAGCCUGAGGGCAAUGGGGAGCCCUUUUGGGAUAUUAAACUUGAGUAAGAUAUGAGCAUAUUUGCAUCUUGAAAAAUCAUUAUGGGAAGAUGGCUGGGAAGAGAGGAGGAGUGGCAGAAGAAAGAUAGGUUGGAGACAAUUGAUUGCUCGAUGAUAUAAAAUGUUAAGUACCAUGAAUGAUGCUGUUAGGCUGGAAUGCGCCAAGCAUAAAGGUGGGGCAUGGCAUCAAAAGGUAGGUCAACAUAUUAAAUAAUUCCAUGUAUUGAAAUAUCCAGAAAAUAUAUAGACAGAUCUAUAGAGAUAGAAACUGGUCUGCCCAGGACUAGGGGUUGUCUAAGGAUAAGGAGCUUCUUUUUUGGAUGGUGAAAUAACCUAAAAUAUAUUGUGCCAUUGUUUGCACAACUUUGUGAAUAUAUUAAAAACCUGUUAAUUGUACUCACUAAAUGUCCUCCUUCUAAAUUAAGCUGUUCUUGACAAGAAAAGGAAAGAAACAAAGAAAAGAAGAGAAAAAAGGUCAAGGUUUGGUCCUGGGUGCUCAAAUGGCAGGCCACAGACAGGAAACACAGUUGUGAGGAAUUACAACAGCCUCCCGGCCAGAGCUGGAGAGGUGGAGCCCAGGUCCCCUCUAACACCCCUUCUCCUGGCCAGGUUGGAGUCCCGCCACAGGCCACCAGAGCGGAGCAGCGCAGCGCCCUGUCUCCCAGCCUGAGGUGCAGUGCUGCAUCUCUGGUCAGUUGGGAGUCUGAGAUGAAGCACUGUAGCUCAGGAAGAGAGAAGUUGUUCUGCAGCCAUCAGCCUGGAAGUGGUAAGUGCUGGGGGGUUGUGGGGGGCCAUAACAGGAAGGACAGAGUGUUUCCAGACUCCAUACUAUCAGCCACUUGUGAUGCUGGGGAAGUUCCUCUACACAAGUUCCCCUGGUGCCACGAUCUGCUUCACGAGUCUGGGCAUGUCCUGACUCCUCUGUGUACCCCAGUGUGUCCAUCUUAGCAUGAGGCGUUAGCAUUUCCCCAGCACCCUGCCUCUGCUUUCUCUUUCUGAGCCCAUGGCAGACACAGCUAAUCAGUAAAGGCAUAUAUUCUUUUUUUUUUGAGACACAGUCUCACUCCAUCACCCAGGCUGGAGUGCAGUGGCAUAAUCUCAGCUCACUGCAACCUCCUCCUCCCAGGGUCAAGCAAUUCUCGUGCCUCAGCCUCCCAAGUAGCUGAGAUUACAGGUGUGCGCCACCACACCUGGCUAAUUUUUGUAUUUUUAGUAGAGAUGGGGUUUCACUAUGUUGGCCAGGCUGGUCUCAAACUCCUGACUUCAGGUGAUCUGCCCGCCUCGGCCUCCCAAAGUGCUGGGAUUACAGGCAUGAGCCUCCACGCCCCGCCAGGCAUCCAUUCUUGAAGUGCUCAGAUGCAGCUUCAGAAUCCUCAACAAUGAGCCCUGGAAAGCCACUAGUACUGAUUCACAGCUGAAACUCAUUCAUCAUUUGUGGAUCAAACAAUUCCUAAAAACCCUUUCAGCCCUGAAGAUAAAAAUUCUGGCCUUUGAGUCAGGGUCUUCACUCUGUACUUCUAACCUUGGCUCCGGGGUAUUGCCGAAACCAGUCCAGGCACGUCACAAAUGUCUGACUUCUCCCAGAGGCUUCAGAAGCACAAUGAGCAGCAGAGGAGAGCCAUGGAGCCAAGCACAGUCUCAUUUAACCUCCCCAAAAGCUUGGGAAGUGGGUGGUGUUAUAGCCCCAUUUUACAGAUGAGAAAAACUGAGGCUUAUUUAAGCAGCUCACCUAAAGUCACAUAUUGAUUGUGCUGAGCUGAGAUUGUACCCUAAUCUGCCUUCAAAUCCAUGUUUUUACCCAUUGCAUGUGAUUAUGGAACCUGGGACCGAGGAGCAGGAGGAGAACAUUCUAAAUUCUGCUCCCAUCUUGUCUUUACAUCUCAGGUCACUUUUAGCAAAGACAGACCCGGACACUUGCCAUUAAUACUACAGGCUUCCUUCCUCCUACCCCCUUCCCCCAAUCUUAUUCAUCUCACCUCUCCAGUAGGUCGUGGACUCAUGCAUUUUAUAAUUAAAGAAGGCCAAGGCUCAGGGGUUAAGUGACUUACUGGAGGUUAUCAGAGAGGAAGUUGCCAAACCCAGGCUAGGAACUGAAUGGUUGGUUUAAAUCCACCCCUCUGGCAGGAGACUGGGGAAUACACAUGAGCCGUGCAGACAGCAGAGGGCAGUCCUGGGGGUGGGGGCGCCAGAGGGUUUCCGGUACUUUUCAGGGCAAUUGAAGUUCCGGUCACUACUCCCCCCCAGAGCAAUAAGCCACAUCCGGCGACGUGUGGCACCCCACCCUGGCUGCUACAGAUGGGGCUGGAUGCAGAAGAGAACUCCAGCUGGUCCUUAGGGACACGGCGGCCUUGGCGCUGAAGGCCACUCGCUCCCACCUUGUCCUCACGGUCCAGUUUUCCCAGGAAUCCCUUAGAUGCUAAGAUGGGGAUUCCUGGAAAUACUGUUCUUGAGGUCAUGGUUUCACAGCUGGAUUUGCCUCCUUCCCACCCCACAGUUGCCCCCCAAUGGGGCCUCGGCUGGCUCACAGGAUGAGGGUUCAAGAAGAAGGCUGUCCCUGGAGGUAAGAGGGCUUAUGAACCAUGUUCCAAACCUUUGCGUUGCUUUUCUUUCCAUCGUGUCUAUUUCAUAACAUCCCUGUGAGGCUGGAUGUGGGAACUUCAGCACUGCCGUACUCUUGGGAAAUUUGUCCAAGGCCACCCGGCUGAGCAGCGGUUGAACCAGGACACCAUCAGGCAUGCGUUUCUUGUCUCCACCACACCCUCAACCCACUUCCCAACGCGCCUUGCGACAGGGGCUGCGGUAUUGCAUCCACAUGACUGAUAAACUAGUAAACACACAUGAAUUCAUUUUAAAAGUGUAUUCAAUCAGUUAGGUAAACUAAAAACCUUAAGUCUUCGUUCGAUUUGGAAUGCAGCCAGAGAACAAAUGGAAAAUUUUUCAAGGUAGAGAAGAUGAAAACUCAGAACGCCCUCUUGUGGCAUCUCUACCCACCCUAGGAACACUAUGGCUCUUCCCCUACACAUGGUGAUUGCUAACCUUGCUACAAGACGUUGGACACACACACACACACACACACACACACACACACACUGAGGUUCCUUUUGCCCCCUCACUUUUGAGCCAGUGACUACUGAAACCCUCUCCAUUGUUGCACCACCAGCAAUGCCCCCAUCACUUCCUCUCAUUUACUUCCACAGGCUGGUUCAUCCUCAAAGCCCUCCUUACGUAGAUCUGUGGGAUCAGUGAGGCUCAGAGAGGUAAAGUGGCCAGCCCAAGGUCGCCCAGACAGCAAAAGGCAGGGCCAGCGCUGAUUUCAAGUCCAAUGGCCUAUGGCAAUUUCUUAGCCAAAAGCAAAAUCUACAAAAAUAAAAAGUCAGGCACAGUGGUGAGUGCCUACAGUCCCAGCUACUGAGGAGGCCGACGGGGGAGGACCACUUGAGCUUGGGAGUUCCUGGCUGCAGAGAGCUAUGAUUGUGCCUGUGAAUAGCCAAUGCACUCCAGCCUGAGCAAGAUAGGGAGACCCUGUCUCUAAAAAAUACCUAAAUAAUUUUAAAAGUCAGCCUCUCUGACUGCCUAUAGAGAAUGCUAACUAACUGAAUGACAGAAGACCUAAUGUAAUCCAGGUGCAAAAUCAGAACUUUCCGGCCGGGCGCGGUGGCUCACACCUGUAAUCCCAACACUUUGGGAGGCCCAGGCGGGUGGAUCACGAGGUCAGGAGUUCAAGACCGGCCUGCCCAACAUGGCAAAACCCCGUCUCUACUAAAAAUACAAAAAAUUAGCUGGGCAUGGUGGUGGCCACCUAUAAUCUCAGCUACUCAGGAGGCUGAGGCAGGAGAAUUGCUUGGACCCGGGAGGCAGAGGUUGCAGUGAGCUGAGAUCGCGCCACUGCACUCCAGCGUGGGGGACAAAAGCGAAACUCUGUCUCAAAAAAAAAAAAAUUAGAACUUUCCCCGUACUCUUGCUAGGGCUUUUCAUGGAGAUGUAGAAAUGGUAGUAAGUGCCAAGGCCCCAGAACCCUCAUGUUUGGGUCCGACUCCCACAUUGCCAGAGACUAGGCAGCUCACACAGGUGUCCCAAGCUGUCUUUCUCACAGGCCGCAUUGAAGGCAUUUAUGAAAUGAGACCCCCUCUUCCUCAUCCGUAGUGACAGGGCUGGCCUGACCGUGGAGAAAUCAGAUUUGAUCAUGAUAGCUUCCACUCCGUGACUGGUCACGAUCUGCCAGGCGCUGUGCUAAACACUUUCAUAGGCCUUGUCCCCCUCCAUCCUGAUAACACCCCAGUGAAGCAGGCCCUGCUCUUCACUCCACUCCACAAAGCCAAGGCUGAGAGAGGUUAACAGACUUACCUAAGGUCACACAGCUAAGAAGUCGUGAAGCUGGGAUCGAAUCAAGUCUGUGUUUAUGGGUUUAACUAUCAUGUUGUGGCCCCAACCCCAUUUGACCUAGCCUGGCUGGUGGGCCUUCUUGCAGUAGCUUCCCCUGGAGAAGAGGAAAAGCAAACCUUCAUUGAGACCCAAGCGGUCUCUCCUGUGCUCUGUGACAAUAAUAAAGUUCCAGCCCUUGGCUCCUGU